rnacentral:misc_RNA from 1 species
GAAAUGCGAUAAGUAAUGUGAAUUGCAGAAUUCAGUGAAUCAUCGAAUCUUUGAACGCACCUUGCGCCCGCCAGUAUUCUGGCGGGCAUGCCUGUUCGAGCGUCAUUUCAACCAUCAAGCCCCGCGCUUGUGUUGGGGACCUGCGGCUGCCGCAGGCCCUGAAAACCAGUGGCGGGCUCGCUGUCACACCGGGCGUAGUAGAUUUUAUCUCGCUCAGGGCGUGCUGCGGGUUCCGGCCGUUAAAAAGCCUUUUUUACCCAAGGUUGACCUCGGAUCAGGUAGGAAGACCCGCUGAACUUAAGC